GCAAUGGAGGUUCAGUGGUAGAAGUCUCACCUUCGACGCAGGAGACCUGGGUUUGAUUCCUAGCUAAUGCA
rnacentral:tRNA from 1 species